rnacentral:lncRNA from 1 species
AUUAUUUUCAAUAAAAACAUAAAAUAUAGGAGAAAAAACCCACAGACAUGAACAGCACCAUACAAUUAAAUAAACAAAACCAAAGCUCUGAGCUUGUUAGCAGGGAAUAGGGAGUUAGGGAAGAGAUCAUGGGGAAAGAGAUAAACUUCUAACACAGUGGCUGGAUUAUAAAGAGAGAAAGCACUCCUACUUGGGAACUGAGAUUAUCUUUCAGAGAGGACCACUCUGGCCAAGGAGAUGGAGUAAUGAGAGAGGGAAGGUGGGAACUGAGAAAGAAAAAAGGGGUUUCUAAAGAGCGCAAGUCCAGGGGCCUGAGAAAAGAUCAUCCCAGAGUCCAUUAGUCAGUCUAACUGCUCUGGAGACCCUGCCCUUCUCAACAGGGAGUAUUCUGCUCUUUGCUUUCAGCCCCAGUGAACACCUCUUCAAAAUUUCUAAGUAUCUGGUUUAUUUCACUGAGCAUCUGCUUUAUUUCAUCUAUCUAUAUCUGUCUGUCUGUCUGUCCAUCCGUCCAUCCAUCCAUCCAUCCAUCCAUCCAUAUAUUUAUCUAUUAUUUGCCCCAGGGAAGAACCUGGACUCCUGGGUACCUGCUCUAUGGCACCAACGACCUCAUUAAAACUGGAUUUGAGAUGCCCUUUGAAGUAAUCCACUGCUCGGUUUACCUGGGGACCCCCUCUCUAGUAUCCCACAGUCUUCUCUCAGAUGCUUCUCAAAGUCUCCUGAGAGACAAGAGUCCACCAGUUUCUGGCCAGAACACAGGUGACAUACUAGCAGCCAAAAUUAUGGGAGUGGAGAUGGGGAAGAGGUCUAGGAAUUUACCUAACAGCUGCUCAUUUAAAGGUAGUGCUGAGAAGUCCUGAAGCCUCCUUCCCGACUAGGGACCAAAGACAAACAACUCUUGCUUUUAACCCACUUCAAAAACCAAAACAAAUCAAAAGCCCCUACCCAGGCAUCUGCUAGAGUGGAGAAGUGAUCUUCAGAGUGGAAGGGGUGUGCAUGUCAUCCCUGGCUUGGAGGGGAUCUCCCUCCAGAGAGACAGGUGUUUGAAGUGCUACCUGACUUCUUCACUCACCAUACCUGCUUGUAUUUGUUUUUAACUCACUGGCUCAUUUGCCAUGUAUCUGAUAUUUUUUCUAAAAUUCUACAAAAAUUCAAAGAAAGUAAGCAAUACCUAAACAAAUGGGAAACUGUGAAUAGCAGAGCUGCUCAAAUGUUUUCCAUAUUCAUUCUAUCCAGAUAUGCUAUAUAGGAGGCAGCCUCAGUCAGGCUGGUGAUUCUGGACUUCCCUGGCAGUGCUUAACUGGAAUCCUUGUUGACUUCCAAGAACCUUUGUGCAUCUAUGUGGCUUGGGAGUUCAUCAGUGGGCCACUUAGCAAAUAAUAGUCAUUUAACACUGAAUAGGAAAGUACACUCUUAUGCAUGUUCUUUGGGAUAGGAAUGGCCUGAAUCUGGCCUUGGCUACACACAUAGGCUUUUUGCUUUCCUUCCCCACCCCCUUAGAUAAAGGCCAUCAGAAGGCCAGUUGUUUCCUGUGAGCUGGGGGUAGGUAUUGGAUCAAGCAAUUGGAUCAAACCUCCAGUCAACUUGUUCUGGAAUCCAGAGCACUGUGCCCUCUCCAGCCUCCUUACUCCUCAGUAGAAAGACCAGACAGACUAGCCUCUCACUCAGGUAUUUAUCUAGAUGACAGGUUUGUCCUCAGUCUACACCCCGAUGCUUCACCUGUGAGAUCAUGUAUGUCAGGCAGUGUGGGGUCGAAGGAGCAUGGCAGGCUCUGUGUCUUGCUGUGUGGAGCAUUGAGAAGCAGGAGAAAGGUUCCCCCUCCCCAUUUUCCUCCCAUUCAUGGCCUGAGCCCCAUGAUCAGGAAUCACAUCCAAGGCCAUCCUGCAAUAGGGUCCCUGAGAAGUCAGUCCUGCUGGAGUCAGGCCUUCUGAUAUGCCUCUGAUUAUAACAACCAUGCAUGGCCUCUCUGGUCACUGGUAAGCUGACUGUGGGGUCCUAGUCACCUUUGGUGGAAGGUUCUUAUCACACUACUGUCCCCAAGGUCUUUCUUAGAAUAGUAUCUCUUCCAGGCAGUUCACCGGGGGGUCUGGGCCCUUCCCCUUCUACUUUCAGAAAGUUCAUAGCAAGAAGUGGCUUCAUAAAUUUGAGAGUUCUCAUACUAAUGAAUUAAAAGUGCACCUGAAAGCUCUAGAACAAAAGGAAACAAACACACUCAAGAGGGGUAGAUGGCAGGAAAUAAUCAAACUCAGGGUUGAAAUCAAUCAAUUAGAAACAGAGC